rnacentral:rRNA from 1 species
GACGAACCGUGCGAACGUUAUUCGGAAUCACUGGGCUUAAAGCGCGUGUAGGCGGGAGGGCACGUCCGUCGCUGAAAUCCCCCGGCUCAACCGGGGAACGGGCGCGGAUACGACCUUCCUGGAGGGGCGUAGGGGGACCUGGAACUUCCGGUGGAGCGGUGAAAUGCGUAGAUAUCGGGAGGAACACCAGUGGCGAAGGCGGCAUCCUGGCCAUGUACUGACGCUCAGGGGCGAAAGCGUGGGGAGCAAACCGG